rnacentral:tRNA from 1 species
GGUAAAAUGGCUGAGAAUUAGGCGAUAGAUUGUAAAUUUAUUUAGGAGGGGUAACCUCUUUUACCA